rnacentral:rRNA from 1 species
UACGUAGGGCGCAAGCGUUGUCCAGAAUUAUUGGGCGUAAAGAGCUCGUAGGCGGUUUGUCGCGUCUGCUGUGAAAACCUAAGGCUCAACCUUGGGCUUGCAGUGGGUACGGGCAGACUAGAGUGCGGUAGGGGUGACUGGAAUUCCUGGUGUAGCGGUGGAAUGCGCAGAUAUCAGGAGGAACACCGAUGGCGAAGGCAGGUCACUGGGCCGCAACUGACGCUGAGGAGCGAAAGCAUGGGGAGCGAACAGG